CGCUGGCGGCGUGCCUAAUACAUGCAAGUCGAACGGUCUUUCUAUGGAAGCUUGCUUCCACUGAGAAGAUAGUGGCGAACGGGUGAGUAACACGUGGGUAACCUGCCCAUAAGAGGGGGGAUAACAUCCGGAAACGGGUGCUAAUACCGCAUAGUUUUCUUGAUCGCAUGAUUGAGAAAGGAAAGACGGCCUUUGUGCUGUCGCUUAUGGAUGGACCCGCGGCGUAUUAGUUAGUUGGUGAGGUAACGGCUCACCAAGACGAUGAUACGUAGCCGACCUGAGAGGGUGAUCGGCCACAUUGGGACUGAGACACGGCCCAAACUCCUACGGGAGGCAGCAGUAGGGAAUCUUCCGCAAUGGACGAAAGUCUGACGGAGCAACGCCGCGUGAGUGAAAGAAGGUUUUCGGAUCGUAAAACUCUGUUGUCAGAGAAGAACAAGUUGGAGAGUAACUGCUCCAGCCUUGACGGUAUCUGACCAGAAAGCCACGGCUAACUACGUGCCAGCCGCCGC
rnacentral:rRNA from 1 species